GACGAACGCUGGCGGCGUGGAUUAGGCAUGCAAGUCGAACGGUAUCAUCCUUUCGGGGGUGAGAGAGUGGCGAACUGGUGAGUAACACGUAGGUUAUCUACCCUCAAGACGGGGACAACCCAGGGAAACUUGGGCUAAUACCGGAUGUGAGCAACUUUUAGUUGUUUGAAAGGUGGCGUAAGCUGUCGCUUGGGGAUGAGCCUGCGUCCUAUUAGUUAGUUGGUGAGGUAACGGCUCACCUAGGCAAUGAUAGGUAGGCGGCCUUAACGGGUGGUCGCUCACACUGGGAUUGAGAUACGGCCCAGACUCCUACGGGAGGCAGCAGUCGAGAAUAGUCUACAAUGGUCGGAAGACUGAUAGUGCGACGCCGCGUGAACGAUGAAUCCCUUCGGGGUGUAAAGUUCUUUUAUAUGUGAGCAGUGCUUCUUAUAUUAACAGUAUGGGGAGAGAGAUAUUAGCAUAUGAAUAAGCAACGGCUAACUCCGUGCCAGCAGCCGCGGUAAACUCG
rnacentral:rRNA from 1 species